AUUUGUGUUAAAAACAUUUAAGUAUGUGACAAUAAGAGAGAGAAAAAAAAAAUUAAUCGAAUUGAUGAUGAGAAAAGAAAUCGUUAUUGAUUGAUAUGGAAAAUGUGAUAUAUAUUAAGACGUGUAGGAAGUAGAAAAUAUAACUUUUCGAGAAUUUAUUGACAAAACAUUAUAAACAAAACAUGUGUUUAGGUAAAUUAAUUAAUAUUUGAAGAGACAAAAUUUCUACAUACAAUGUCCUAAAUGAGAGUGAUACGACGAAAGUUUUCUUAGCUAUUGUGAAGAAAUGAAACUGGGACGCCGUGGAUGUGCAGGUUUUAUUAAGUUUCGCUUUACACCCUUCUAAAAGUUUAACUAAUUUCUUCAAAAUGUGCAAAAUGAGAAAUAGAGAAAAUGUCGAUUCUUGCAAAAAUCAAAAUAUAGGUUCUCCCAACGUGUUAUUAUCAUUUGGUCGCAGACGUUUUUUAAAUUUUUUGAAACGUUUCCCUGCUAUCUAUGUCUUUCAUUUUAAUUAACACUCCGAUUCAUAGGUUCGAUGCAAAUAAAGAAUUUCUCGGAUUAACAGGAUAUUAUAGAAAAUUAAUUAAAGAUGUUUCUUAUUUAGCAAAACCAUUCACGAAAUAUUUAAACAGAAUGCAAAAAUAAACACUAACGACGUUUUUUAUCAAAAAUCUUUCGAUAUCCUUGAAAGGACCCUGACAUAUCAUCCCAACUGUAAGUAACGUGCUCCGCUUCACGAAUUAAUCUUUCGGCGUAUUACGCAAACCAUACACUGAAACUAACUAUAGCCCAGAUGAAAAGGAAUUGUUAGCUAUUGUUUGGCACACCAAAUAUCUUCCAUCCCAGAGCCAUUUUUAUACAAUAAAUAAAAAUUUAUUCAUGACGAUAUAAUAUAACAAUUUUUGGACUCCAGAAAACGCGAAAGCUAAACGUACAAGGCUUAACCAAAAAAAAAAACGGACAACUGAAUAGAAUCGAACAUUACAACAAAAUUCUUCACAUCAUAAAUGUUACAAGGAAACAACCAACCUCUUCAAAACAUAUAAGCAUUACUAGUACAACCGAGAAUAGAUUUCUACUGGAUGCGAUAUGUAAAGCUUUGCUUUAGUAAAAGAAAGAAGAAAUUGUCUUAAUCCUUACCUUAAACGCAAACGCGAGUUUAUCAAUAUGUUACGGUUGAAGUUUAUAGCCGAGUCUACGGGGUAGUGAUAACAAAAUCCAAAAUAUGCACUCGACAAUCUAUACACAAACGAGCACAACUUAACGAACAAGAUAAAUAAUCCAACAAUUAUUAAUAAUUUUAAAGCCACCCAAAUAUUAAUUAGCAAUUACAUGAACAAAUUUCAAUAGUCUCUAGAAAAGAAAAUAGCAACCCUCGAAGAUGAAGAACUCGACUUAAUUGCAAACUUCGAUGCUUACACAAACAUUAAAGUGUCAUUAUUUUCCAAGACAAUAAUAUUGUGUUAGUUAUAUUAAUGCCACAAUUUUCUGCAAACAUUUUAUCAAGAAUCUUAUUCGAAGCAAUCUCUAAUCCUCAAAACAAGUCCAUUAUCUUGAAAAUCACGAAAUAUUGAUGCAUAACAUAACGAUGUUUAUGAAUCUAUUGUUACAGAAAACUUAGAAAUGCAUGUAACAUAUCAUUUUUUACGUGCACAGCUGAUAGACAAAGAUAGAGAGAGCGAGUGAGUGAGAGAGAGAAAAGCGUAUUACAUUGCAAUGGGAAGGGCGCUGAUUAGCAUGUUGAAAGCCAUUAGGAGGAUACGUACACCGAAGACGAGGAUUGUUCGGUAGAUUUCCGUCUUCGUAACUUUUUCAAGUUAAAGUAGCCGCAACAGUAUGGGAUAUCCUCGGUCCGAGAAUAUCUUGCUUUUUCAUUUGUGUACUGUCCGUCGAAGUGUACCUGUACACCCUUGUCCUGAGGACUUAACCCUCCCAGCGCGUCGAUGCCUAGUAAGUCAUCAACUACUUCAGCUUCCUGGCCUUCAUCUUCGUUUGCAACGGGUUCAAGGCAUUGAUUCUUCGCCCUCCGCGCUGCUUCCCUCAUCGAAUACCCAACUGGUCUGUCUGUUUAAAUUAUACUACCGGGGCUUUUAAUGCAAGAUGGCCUUACCUCCCUUUGUUCGUCCAUCUGUACAUCCCUUUGUUUAUUCUUUCUCUAACUGUUCUAAAAAUCUGC